rnacentral:precursor_RNA from 17 species
UGGAGCUGAGAGAUUGUCCAUGAUGCACGUUAGCCUCUGUCCAGCGCAUACUGUGUUUCUGACAUUCACUGUGCGUGUGACAGCGGCUGAUGAGAUUCUGGAGACUCCUCGCUGGAACAGC